CUUAUAACCGUUGAAGGCACUGAGAGGCACGCAAAUGAACGAUUUAACUGAUGUAAAUAAUCGUCAUUGAAUCACUUAAGCUAUUUUUUCGGUUCUUCUUGUUUUGUGAUACACAAAGUUUUCAUCAUAACAAAACGCCCUUAGAUACUGUUCCAGUACUUUCGUUACCCUUCAACUUACCGGCUUAUCCAACGAAAACUGAAGCGACCGCACGUGCAUGUGCAAAAUGCAACGAAAGCGAAAACAGUGCGAUGUUUUGUAUAUUUCGGAUUGUCCGAAUCCGACCUGCUAUGCGGCACUGUGGCAGGUAGGUGAGGUAGCAAGUCGCACACCGCGGGUCUUAAUUAGGAACCACCAGCAGGUGAGCGUGCGCGCUUUUUGCUAGAGUGCGGCAGCAGCACGAAGCACACUCAAACGGUGAACACGACAGCGACGCCAAAUCCAAAUUGGACGUACGGGUAUUAUAGGCAUCGGGUUGCGUGCCAUCUUAGAUUGGCACUAACGCCGCAGCUGCUGCGCGCAGGGCGGAGAAGUGUAAUUUUCUAAUUAAAGCACAGCGAAGUUUUGGACUUAGUUGCAAAAUUAUCUAAUUGGUGGAUUUAUAUGGGAAACACCGAGCGAUGCUUCUAUAGAUGGAAGGGUGGGAAGGGUUGAACCAGGGGCAUAAUAAGUACCUUAAGUAGAUGUCUGUUUCAUGCAAGGA